UAUGUUUAUUUGACUCUGAUGAUAAAGAACUAGAAAAUAUUUCUGUAAAGGACUGUAUUAAAUAUUUAGGAAUACAUCUGUCAAAAAACCACUUAGUCAGACAACAUUUGAAUUUCUCUCCUAAAAUGAAGAGAACUAAAAAUAUAUUUAAUAGUUGGCUACAAAGAGAUCUUUCUAUACUUGGGAGAGUACUUCUGUCCAAGGCAGAGGGACUGUCUCGUUUUGUGUACCCCUCAUUAUCGUUAUGUGUAAAUCCUGCUACUCGUAAAGACAUCAAUAAGACCUUUCUUGACUUCAUCUGGAAAAAUAAGUCUCACAAACUCAAAAAAUCUGUCCUUUUUAACAAAAGAGCUGAAGGCGGUCUAGAAGUGUUGGAUUUUGUUGACAUAAAUAACACUUUCAAGAUAAACUGGUUGAUAAUGUUUUGAUCAAUACUGAUUCAAUAUGGUAUUUCAUUCCAAAUAAUGUGUUUAAUAAAUUGAGAGGUCUUCCAUUUUUACUGAAAUGUAAUUAUAUUCCUGAAAGAUUACCUGCUAAAUUGGCUAGGUUUCACCAACAAGCUUUAAUGGCCUGGAAAAUGUUUCCUGCGCAAUUUUUCCCCACUUAAAGCUCUUUUGUGGAAUAAUUCAGACAUAUCUAUAAGGAAUUGUACCCCAGCUGGCAUGAGAGGAAUAUUGACUGUGUUCUUGAUAUUUUCAACAACAAGGGUAAUAUUCUCACAUAUGAACAAUUUAUAACUUUGAAAGAGUUUCCAAUACCUUUCAGGGAGUUUAUUUCUGUGAUCAAAGCCAUUCCCAGUGGUCUAACUACAAUCAUGAAAACUCAUUUUAGCUUUGGUAACGAUCACAAAGUUUAUCCAGAACUCAGAUUGGAAGGUGUGGGCUUACUUGAGAGAUCUUGUUGUAAUAAAUAUAUAAGAUAUCUAAGACAAAUUCUUCAUUCACAAAACCAACUUACACCGAGUGGAAAGUUUUUCUGGAACAUGCUUAUUCCUGACGGCCUUACAAAUAUUGUAUACCAAACAAAGUUAAGGAAGUGCACUUGAAAAUUUUACAUAAGAUAUAUCCAUGUAAUUCUAUGAUAUCCAAAUUUGUGGCUAUUGAUGAUAUCUGUGUUUUCUGUGAAGAAGAAGGUGAGAAUCUGUCUCACUUGUUCUUUGAAUGUAAAUUUGUGUCAGAAUUUUGGGAAAACCUUGCAGAAUACUUAUUUAUCAUUAUGAACACUGCCUAUGUUUUUGAAAUGAAAUAUUUAACAUGUUACAAUGAUAACAAGACCACUGAAAUAAUUGUCAAUUUUUUAAUUCUUGUUGCCAAAUACUUCAUACACAAACAAAAAUUCCAAAAUUCUAUGCCAAAAUUAUUUUUAAAAUUGAAUUUAAGUAUUUUAUUAAAGCAUUAACUCUAGUGAACAAUAACAAGAAUAACAUUUUCCUAAAUCAUUACAAUAAGACUUUUUCAGAGUGAUUACAAUUGCACUAGAAUUGUUUUUUUUGUAUGAUCUAAGAAUGUAAAUUGUUGAUCUAUAUUUGAAUAAAAAAAAUAAAAAACCCUAGCACCCCUAGCCAUAAAAUUGACAGCAUGCCAACGCGGAUUGCAGAGGUCUUGAAAAAAAUAUAUAUUUGUGUCAUUCUUAACUUUUGCCCGGUGGCCAUUUUGAUGAAUUGUUCAGCAGUCUUAUGGCUUGUGGGUAGAAGCUGUUAAGGAGCCUUUUGGUCGAAGACUUGGCGCUCCGGUACCGCUUGCCAUGCGGUAGCAGAGAAAACAGUCUUUGACUUGGGUGACUGGAGUCUGUGACAAUCUUAUGGGCUUUCCUCGACACCGCCUAUUAUAUAGGUCCUGGAUGGCAGGAAACUUGGCCCCAGUGAUGUACUGGGCCAUACGCACUACCUUCUGUAGCGUCUUACGGUCAGAUGCCAUACCAGGCGGUGAUGCAACCGAUGGCACAGCUGUAGAACUUUUUGAGAAUCUGGGGACCCAUGCCAAAUAUUUUCAGUCUCCUGAGGGGGAAAUGUUUUGUCGUGCCCUCUUCGACUGUCUUGGUGUGUUUGGACCAUGAUAGUUUGUUGGUGAUGUGGACACCAAGGAACUUGAAACUCUCAACCUGCUACAAUUCAGCACCGUCGAUGUUAAUGGGGGCCUGUAGUCCACAAUCAGCUCCCUUGUCUUGCUCACACUGAGGGAGAGGUUGUUGUCCUGGCACCACACUGCCAGUUCUCUGAUCUCCUCCCUAUAGGCUGUCUCAUCGUUGUCUGUGAUCAGGCCUACGACUGUUGUGUCGUCAGCAAACUUAAUGAUGGUGUUGGAGUCGUGUUUGGCCAUGCAGUCGUGGGUGAAAAGUGAGUACAGGAGGGGACUAAGUACACACCCCUGAGGGGCCCCAGUGUUGAGGAUCAGCGUGGCAGACGUGUUGUUGCCUACCCUUACCACAUGGGGGCGGCCCGUCAGGAAGUCCAGGAUCCAGUUGCAGAGGUGAGCUUUGUGGGCACUUUUGUGGGCACUAUGAACUCUGAGCUCUAGUCAAUGAACAGCAUUCUCACAGGUUUUCCUUUGGUAUUUUAUUAGAUACCCCAUUAGCUGUUGCAAAAGCAGCAGCCAUUCUUCCUGGGGUCCACACAAAACAUGAAACAUAAUACAGAACAUCAACAGACAAGAACAGCUCAAGGACAGAACUACAUAUAUUUAAAAACAAAGGCACACGUAGCCUACAUAUCAAUGCAUACACACAACCUAUCUAGAUCAAAUAGGGGAGAGGCGUUGUGUUGUUUUUUUAACCAGGUUUGCUGUUUAUUUUAGCAAUAUAAGAUGGAAGGAAGUUCCAUGCAAUAAGGGCUCAAUAUAAUACUGUACGCUUUCUUGAAAUUGUUCUGGAUUUGGGGACUGUGAAAAGACCUCUGGUGGCAUGUCUGGUUGGAUAAGUGUGUGUGUCAGAGCUGUGUGUAAAUUGACUGCAAAACGAUGUGAUUUUCAACACAUUGUUUCUUUAAGAAGUAGUGAUUCAGUCAGUCUUUCCUCAACUCUUAGCCAAGAGAGACUGGCAUGCACAUUAUUUAUAUCAGCCCUCUGAUUACAAUUAAGAGCAAAACGUGCCACUCUGUUCUGGGCCAGCUGCAGCUUAACUAGGUCUUUCCCUGCAGCACUGGACCACACGACUGGACAAUAAUCAAGAUUAGACAAAACUAGAGCCUGCAGAACUUGUUUUUUGGAGUGUGGUGUCAAAAAAGCAGAGCAUCUCUUUAUUGUCCAGGUGGGAAAGGGCAGUGUGGAGUGUGAUUGAGACUGUAUCUCUGUCAAUUAGGUUAGUAUUGUGGAGUAACUACAAUGUUGUUGACAGUGGUGUUAAGUACUUAGUGUUAAGUACUUAAAUAGUACUACUUAAGUAGCUUUUUGGGGUAUCUGUACUUGACUAUUUAUAUUUUUGACUUCUUUUACUUCACUACAUUCUUAAAGAAAAUAAAGUAUUUUAAAAAAUAAAGUACCCUGACACCCAAAAGUACUUGUUACAUUUGGAGAGCUUAGCAGGACAGGAAAAUUGAAAAAUUCACGCACUUAUCAAGAGAACAUCCCUUGACAUCCCAACUACCUCUUGUCUGACGGACUCACUAAACACACAUGCUUUGUUUGUAAAUGAUGGCUGAGUGUUGGAGUGUGCCCCUGGCUAUCUGGAAAAAAAAGGGGUGUCUGGUUUGCUUAAUAUAAUAUUUUUUUUAAUGAUUAAUACUUAAGCAUAUUUUAGCAAUUACAUUUUACUUUGAUACUUAAGUAUAUUUUAAAACCAAAUACUGUUAGACAUUUACUCAAGUAGUAUUUUACUGGGUGAAUUUCACUUACUAUUUUCUAUUAAGGUAUCUUUACUUUUACUCAAGUAUGACAAUUGGGUACUUUUCCACCGCUGGUUGUUGAUCCAUCCUCAGUUUUCUCUUAUCACAGCUGUACCUGUUUUAAAGUCACCAUUACCCUUAUGGUCAAAUCCCUGAGCGGUUUCCUUCCUCUCCGGCAACUGAGUUAGGAAAGACGCCUGUAUCUUUGUAGUGACUGGAUGUUGUGUCAGGGCUCCCAAGUGGCACAGCAGUCUAGCCGGGGUAGGCCGUCAUUGUAAAUAACAAUUUGUUCUUAACUGACUUGCCUAGUUUAAAUAAAGGUUAAAUAAAAAAGUAUUGUUACACAAUCCAAAGUGUAAUUAAUAUCUUCACCGUGUUCAAAGGGAUAUUCAAUGUCUGCUUUUACAUUUUGUACCAUCUACCAAUAGGUGCCCUUCUUUGCGAGGCAUUGGAAAACCUUCCUGGUGUUUUGUGGUUAAAUCUGUGUUUGAAAUUCACUGCUCGACUGAGGGACCUUACAGAUAAUUGUGUGUGUGUGGGGAACAGAGAUGAGGUAGUCAUUAAAAAAUCAUGUUAAACACUAUUAUUGCACACAGAGUGAGUCUAUGCAACUUAUUAUGUGACUUGUUAAGCACAUUUGUAAUCCUGAACUUAUUUAGGCUUGCCAUAACAAAGGUGUUUGUGUACUUAUUGACUCAAGACAUUUCAGCUUUUCAUUUUUUAAAUUAAUUUGUAAGCAUUUUCCAAAAAACAUAAUUCAACGUUGACAUUGUGGGGUAUUGUGUGUAGGCCAGUGACCCCAAAAAAAUCUAAAUUCAAUAAAUUACAAAUUUGGGAUGUAACACAACAAAAUAUAGGUAGCUAGCUAGCUAUCUUUUGAUCUAGCGAGCCAGGCUAGCUAGCUAGAUACCUCAUUUGAACGUUUUACAAAUUUGGGAUGUAACACAACAAAAUAUAGGUAGCUAGCUAGCUAUCUUUUGAUCUAGCGAGCCAGGCUAGCUAAUGUCUAUACCUCAUUUGAACGUAGUUAGGUCGUAGCUCAUACAAGUUUAUUGUGUAUUAUCUAGAUACUGCUGGUUAUGGAACGUUAUCAUUUGAUAAUGCUAGCAAGGCAGGCUGGCUACAGGCUAGCUAACGUUCGUUAACUAGCUAGCUAAUGUUAGCCUACAAGUCGUAUUUGCAAGUUAUUUUGUAGCUCAUACAGGUGUAUUCCGUUUUGUUUAGGGCAAAACUUAAUAAUGGAUGUAGCUAACUCAUGUCUGAGUCUGACUAAUACAGUGAACUAUUGGUGCUUUCAAGGGAGGGGAAAAAACUAGGUCAAAUCAUGACUUUAGUGAUCUUCAGAUCGGAAAGUCAGAGCACUAGAAAAAUGCCUGAGUUUGCAACUUGGAAUUUCGAGUUGGAAUAGCGUUCAAAAUUACAUUUCCCAAUCAGAGCUCAUUUUUGUCCACACACCCACUAAUGAAUUUCUGGCUACACCACUGAGGUUAUAGGCAUAAGGUUAACUGUGUGGUUAAGGUUAGGUUUAAAAUCACAUUUAAGAAGAGCAAUUGUAGAAAUAGGCGGCCUAUAUGACUUUGUGGCUGUAACUAGUGACGACCUAGAAUUAUCUUGACCGAGUUACUGCCCUGAUGACACAGACGGCUUCAUCAACAACGGUAAUGUGUGUUAUGUGAAAAGUUGUAUACAAAAUAAAUAUAUCCAGAUUGAAAAACUCAUAUUUUAAUUACCCAGCCAAGCAGAUUAAUUUUGGUUGUGAAGUACAUUAUCAAAACACUUAGUCCUUUCUUUAUAACAAUGAAAUGUGUUACUUGGCUGUCUAUUGUAUCACGCUGUCCCAGACCCUACCAGUCAACACCACCUCGUAAGAUGACGAAGUACAUUGCCUGCUGCAGUUGUUCGAGAGAGGUCCAGUUUCAUGCAACAUAGAAAAGACCAGCAAGGGGACCCUCAGAAACACACAGACAUGCCCUUCCUGUGAGCAUUCCUAUAAAUGGAACAGUGUCGACACUUGAAUCAGGUUGGUGACAUUUGCCCUGGUCAAGUUCAAACAGUUGUGAGUUUGGUCCCAAUUCACCUUCAUAACAUAGCCUAGUUCCACCAGGCUGAUCACUGCGUUUGUCAUAAUAUUUCACUUCGUAUAUCAUGACAUCUGAAGUGAAAUAGAAAGGUGAAUGCAACGAUCAGGUUGAUUUCACCAAGCUAAUUAGAACCACCAUUAAUAAUGUAAUCAGUGCUCUGUUUGUGUGACUGACCAGUAUCUUUGAGGGGCCAGGAGCUCAUCUACGCUGCCAUGCCCAUCAAUGGGGCGCUGGCAAAGAACUUACCUCCAGCCUCACUUCUUGCCUGCUUACUAAUGGUCAUCAAUGGAGAGAUGCAUCUAUUGACCCAGCACUAGGAGACUUGCAAGAUGAUGUGAUGAAGUCCAGACUGACAUACGGGCUUCAUACUGAUGUCUCUAAAUGGAGAGAGACCUGACACAGCAUGAACAUUUUACUAGACAAAUUUUACUAGUUGUCUUUUUUUAUUAUUGAAUUGUAUCAGUCAAUAUGGGGAGGGAGAAACCCAGUGUAUUCUGCACCAGGAUCAGGUAACUCCUGGUGUAUACAGGACACCAUAUAGGAAGGUAUGACCACUCUGACAUGUUUACCAAGGUAGCCCAAUUAUCACCAGACAAAAUGUUGAUAGGCACAGUAUCUGUAUCGGCAGGGAAUGACAAUGAAUGAUGAAAGGUGCACCUUGUUAUAUUAGCAGGACACUGAUUCUAUGGUUUUAUGUAAAUGGUUGUUUAUUCUACAUGGACCUGUUACUACAUUUGAAUGUUAUCAAAACACUUAGUUUAGAAUAUCUACAUACAUUAUUUUUAUUUACCUUUAUUUAACUUGGCAUUCUUAUUUACAAUGACGGCCUACCAAAAUGCCUCCUGCGGGGAAGGAGGCUGCAAUUAUUAUUAUUAAAAGAAUAAUUAAACACGCAUCAUGACGAGAGACAACACAACACUACAUAAAGCGAGACCUAAGACAACAACAUAGCAUGGCAGCAACACAUGAAAACAAAGCAUGGUAGCAACACAACAUGACAACAACAUGGUAUCAACACAGCAUGGCAGCAGCACAACAUGGUAGCAGCACAAAACAAGGUACAAACAUUAUUGGGCACAGACAACAGCACAAAGGGCAAGAAGGUAGAGACAACAAUACAUCAUGCAAAGCAGCCACAACUGCCAGUAAGAGUGUCCG
ensembl:lncRNA